AAGUCUUAUAAUCCAACGGCUGAGAUUUAAUUUCUUAGAAUAAUGCCACGUCAUCGCCUCCCACUUGCUUAAUUUCGCUCCGACGAAGAAGCCAACCGAUCCCGUAUCGCCGCCGCGGAAGAUGGAGCGAAAUAACAAGCGAGCGAGUUCGACGAGUCUGAACCGGUGGUUUUUGACGCCGGAGAUGGAGAUCCAACGGCGGCUCAGACUCGUUGAACUCCGGUCGCUUGUUGUAACGCUCCAUACCGCGGCGGCGACUGGGAAUCGGUGGCGUCUUCCUUCACAGAGCGAAAUUUGGAAUCGAUGAUCCGGUGACAAAACGCGGGGGAGAAGAGGAGGAAGAGGAUCGGGACCUUUAUCGGGAAGUAAAAGUCAGGAGGAAAGCUUCUCGUUGUCUGGAGCACCGGGGGGAUACGUGCCUUCGCGUCCUGGCCUGAUGAAGAUUAUGGAGAACCGAGGGGAUAUAAAGACCAGAAUUUCGCAGAAGUGAACCCGUCUCAUAUUUCCUUGCUGUCCAUAGGUUUUGGAGGGAGCCCAUUACUCCCUGUCAUGAAGGUGAAUGGAUCCUUUUCUGGCUGGCUCCUAAUAGCUUAAAUCGGGGUGGUAUGUGUUUAUUCUUUGGUUUCCAUCUUUUUUUCCCCAUUCUUUCCUAAAAACUGUGUAUUUUCAUCUGGAAAUGAAUAUAUAUAUUUUCUCUGCUCCAAAAAAAUGACUUAUUCAUGGUA